GUGAAUUUCCGUCCCCUUUUUU
rnacentral:sRNA from 1 species